rnacentral:rRNA from 1 species
AACGAACGCUGGCGGCGCGCCUAAUACAUGCAAGUCGAGCGAGAAGGUGUAGCAAUACACUUGUAAAGCGGCGAACGGGUGAGGAAUACAUGGGUAAUCUACCAUCGAGUGGGGAAUAACCAACCGAAAGGUUGGCUAAUACCGCGUACGCCUCCGAAUCUUCGGGUUCGGAGGGAAAGCUGCACUGUGAGUGUAGCGCUCUUUGAUGAGCUCAUGUCCUAUCAGCUUGUUGGUAGGGUAACGGCCUACCAAGGCUUUGACGGGUAGCUGGUCUGAGAGGACGAUCAGCCACACUGGCACUGCGACACGGGCCAGACUCCUACGGGAGGCAGCAGUAAGGAAUAUUGCGCAAUGGGCGAAAGCCUGACGCAGCGACGCCGCGUGGGGGAUGAAGGUCUUCGGAUUGUAAACCCCUUUCGGGAGGGAAGAUGGAGCGAGCAAUCGUUCGGACGGUACCUCCAGAAGCAGCCACGGCCAACUUCGUGCCAGCAGCCG